rnacentral:rRNA from 1 species
UGGGGAAUAUUGCACAAUGGGGGAAACCCUGAUGCAGCGACGCCGCGUGAAGGAAGAAGGCCUUCGGGUUGUAAACUUCUUUGAUGAGGGACGAAACGGACGGUACCUCAAAAACAAGCCACGGCUAACUACGUGCCAGCAGCCGCGGUAAUACGUAGGUGGCGAGCGUUGUCCGGAAUUACUGGGUGUAAAGGGCGCGUAGGCGGGGAUGUAAGUCAGAUGUGAAAAUCCGGGGCUUAACCUCGGAAGUGCAUCUGAAACUAUAUCUCUUGAGUGCUGGAGAGGGAAGCGGAAUUCCUAGUGUAGCGGUGAAAUGCGUAGAUAUUAGGAGGAACACCAGUGGCGAAGGCGGCUUUCUGGACAGUAACUGACGCUGAGGCGCGAAAGCGUGGGGAGCAAACAGG